rnacentral:rRNA from 1 species
AUUGAACGCUGGCGGCAUGCUUUACACAUGCAAGUCGAACGGCAGCGCGGGCUUCGGCCUGGCGGCGAGUGGCGAACGGGUGAGUAAUGCAUCGGAACGUGCCCAGCUGUGGGGGAUAGCCCGGCGAAAGCCGGAUUAAUACCGCAUACGACCUGAGGGUGAAAGCGGGGGACCGAAAGGCCUCGCGCUAUUGGAGCGGCCGAUGUCGGAUUAGCUAGCUGGUGGGGUAAAGGCUUACCAAGGCGACGAUCCGUAGCUGGUCUGAGAGGACGACCAGCCGCACUGGAACUGAGACACGGACCAGACUCCUACGGGAGGCAGCAGUGGGGAAUUUUGGACAAUGGGGGCAACCCUGAUCCAGCCAUGCCGCGUGCGAGAAGAAGGCCUUCGGGUUGUAAACCGCUUUUGUUCGGGAAGAAAAGCUCUGGGCUAAUACCCCGGGGGGAUGACGGUACCGGAAGAAUAAGCACCGGCUAACUACGUG